rnacentral:tRNA from 1 species
GCUCCCAUCGUCUAGUGGCCCAGGACAUCAGGUUCUCAUCCUGGAAACACCGGUUCGACUCCGGUUGGGAGCG